rnacentral:tRNA from 1 species
GCAGCGAUGGUCUAGCGGUAUGACGUCUGCUUCACACGCUGAAGGUCCCGGGUUCGAUCCCCGGUCGCUGUA